ACCGGUUUCCAACCGGUGAAAUCUACAGAGAGGCCGAAGAUGGCAGUAAUCCAUAUAUAUUGAAUCGCAUCUAACAUGUGUUGUAGUAACCACAGCAACCUUGUAGUAACCACAGCAACCUCCAGGUCCCGCUGAAUUUCCAAGGUUGAGGUUUCCUGGCCAUCUAGCUCUGUGGCCCUUUUAAAACACAAGUCACUAACACUUACUUGCUCAAAUGAGUAUUCCAUAAGAAAUUCUAAUGUGUAACCCUGAAAACCUCUUUCCUGAAAGAAACACACCCACAAGGUUUAAGUUAUGCUGGUUCUUAAUUUGCAUAUACAUGCUAAAGGAGCUAACUCAACAUCAGAGGAUAAAGAUCUAGAGAUUAAGCUCUUAUACCAUUCUAUGAAGCAAAAGAAAAAUAAAAUUUAUGCACUUAAUACGAAACUACACAAAGAAAUGACAACCCCAAACAGACGGAUAAAAGGGCAAUAAACUGGGUAUGCUUAUGCAUGAUCAAAAGGCAAGGUUACGAAAAUAUUUAAUUUUGGAGAAAGAGAGAAGAAAUUAAGGUGACUUUUUGAAGGAAGAUUACCUCAUAAUUUCUUAUUUUCCAUGCAAACACAUUUCUGCUUUCUUUAACCUUUUCCUUAUCUUCCCCUCCUUUUGCUGGUUUCAGAAAAGCAAUCCUCAUUUAUAUAAAUGGAGAUGAAUGUGAAGAAAAGUAGGGCUUUCACUGA
rnacentral:misc_RNA from 1 species